UAGAAUUUUCUCCAGAAUAAAUUAAAGAAAAUGAUCAAAUUGGUGACGCUAUCCAUGUCUGUCCUAUUCUGAUAAUUGGCCAUUAAAUCACCCAAUUUUUUAACACAAACACCUAAUCUUGUAUUCUUUCUUUCUUCCCACACUGCACUAGCUCAUACAAGUACAUAUAUUCUGGCAAUGUUUACAAACCUUUCAUAUCUUAAGCAUAAGAGGUUGAAAUUUUGAGAAAGCUCCUCAAAUGAGUGAACCACCAAAAUAUGCGUACCCCUAUCCUGCUCAAGGUCCAUAUCAAGGGCCUCCAGUGAUGGCACCUCCUCAGUAUUAUGCUGCACCUCCGCCCCGCACAGGACCUUCUUUUCUAGAGGGAUGUCUUGCUGCCCUGUGUUGCUGUUUCCUGGUUGAUGAGUGUUGCUGCGACCCCUCCAUCAUUUUCAUCUGUUAGAACCUCCUUGUAAAUAUUUUAGAUUAUUUGUAUUUUGGUUUGACUCCGAAUUUACAAGCCCAUAUCCAGAACAGAUGGUGUACAAUAAGAGAUACAAUUAAUGUGGUAUAAUCAAAACUAAAUUAAUUAA